rnacentral:rRNA from 1 species
CACGGGGGGCCUACGGGAGGCAGCAGUGAGGAAUCUUGGUCAAUGGGCGCAAGCCUGAACCAGCCAUGCCGCGUGCAGGAGUAAGGUCCUAUGGAUUGUAAACUGCUUUUUUAUGGGAAGAAAAAUUACUAUUAUUAGUAACCUGACGGUACCAUAAGAAUAAGAAUCGGCUAACUCUGUGCCAGCAGCCGCGGUAAUACGGAGGAUUCAAGCGUUAUCCGGAUUUAUUGGGUUUAAAGAGUUCGUAGGUGGGUAUUUAAGUCAGUGGUGAAAUCCUUCAGCUUAACUGAAGAAGUGCCAUUGAUACUAUUUACCUUGAGUAUGAUUGAGGUUGGCGGAAUGUGUCAAGUAGCGGUGAUAUGCGUAGAUAUGACACGGAACACCGAUUGCGUAGGCAGCUGACUAAAUCAUUACUGACACUGAGGAACGAAAGCGUGGGUAGCAAACAGGAUUAGAUACCCUGGUAGUCCACGCAGUAAACGAUGAUUACUAGAUGUUGGAUUUUUUAUAAAUUCAGUGUCCAAGCGAAAG